AUGAACGCUAGCUACAGGCUUAACACAUGCAAGUCGAGGGGCAGCAUGGUCUUAGCUUGCUAAGACUGAUGGCGACCGGCGCACGGGUGAGUAACACGUAUCCAACCUGCCGUCUACUCUUGGACAGCCUUCUGAAAGGAAGAUUAAUACAAGAUGGCAUCAUGAGUCCGCAUGUUCACAUGAUUAAAGGUAUUCCGGUAGACGAUGGGGAUGCGUUCCAUUAGAUAGUAGGCGGGGUAACGGCCCACCUAGUCUUCGAUGGAUAGGGGUUCUGAGAGGAAGGUCCCCCACAUUGGAACUGAGACACGGUCCAAACUCCUACGGGAGGCAGCAGUGAGGAAUAUUGGUCAAUGGGCGAGAGCCUGAACCAGCCAAGUAGCGUGAAGGAUGACUGCCCUAUGGGUUGUAAACUUCUUUUAUAAAGGAAUAAAGUCGGGUAUGCAUACCCGUUUGCAUGUACUUUAUGAAUAAGGAUCGGCUAACUCCGUGCCAGCAGCCGCGGUAAUACGGAGGAUCCGAGCGUUAUCCGGAUUUAUUGGGUUUAAAGGGAGCGUAGAUGGAUGUUUAAGUCAGUUGUGAAAGUUUGCGGCUCAACCGUAAAAUUGCAGUUGAUACUGGAUAUCUUGAGUGCAGUUGAGGCAGGCGGAAUUCGUGGUGUAGCGGUGAAAUGCUUAGAUAUCACGAAGAACUCCGAUUGCGAAGGCAGCCUGCUAAGCUGCAACUGACAUUGAGGCUCGAAAGUGUGGGUAUCAAACAGGAUUAGAUACCCUGGUAGUCCACACGGUAAACGAUGAAUACUCGCUGUUUGCGAUAUACAGCAAGCGGCCAAGCGAAAGCGUUAAGUAUUCCACCUGGGGAGUACGCCGGCAACGGUGAAACUCAAAGGAAUUGACGGGGGCCCGCACAAGCGGAGGAACAUGUGGUUUAAUUCGAUGAUACGCGAGGAACCUUACCCGGGCUUAAAUUGCAGAUGAAUUACGGUGAAAGCCGUAAGCCGCAAGGCAUCUGUGAAGGUGCUGCAUGGUUGUCGUCAGCUCGUGCCGUGAGGUGUCGGCUUAAGUGCCAUAACGAGCGCAACCCUUGUUGUCAGUUACUAACAGGUUCUGCUGAGGACUCUGACAAGACUGCCGUCGUAAGAUGUGAGGAAGGUGGGGAUGACGUCAAAUCAGCACGGCCCUUACGUCCGGGGCUACACACGUGUUACAAUGGGGGGUACAGAGGGCCGCUACCACGCGAGUGGAUGCCAAUCCCCAAAACCUCUCUCAGUUCGGACUGGAGUCUGCAACCCGACUCCACGAAGCUGGAUUCGCUAGUAAUCGCGCAUCAGCCACGGCGCGGUGAAUACGUUCCCGGGCCUUGUACACACCGCCCGUCAAGCCAUGGGAGCCGGGGGUACCUGAAGUGCGUAACCGCGAGGAGCGCCCUAGGGUAAAACUGGUGACUGGGGCU
rnacentral:rRNA from 1 species